rfam:Geosporobacter ferrireducens strain IRF9, complete genome.
UUCUCAUCCAGAGAGGUGGAGGGACUGGCCCUAUGAAACCCGGCAACCGGCUUUUUAGAAAGCAGCGGUGCCAAUUCCUACGGUACGUUUGUAUCGGUAGAUGAGAG